rnacentral:rRNA from 1 species
AGUGAACGCUGGCGGUAGGCCUAACACAUGCAAGUCGAACGGCAGCACAGUAAGAGCUUGCUCUUACGGGUGGCGAGUGGCGGACGGGUGAGGAAUACAUCGGACUCUACUUUUUCGUGGGGGAUAACGUAGGGAAACUUACGCUAAUACCGCAUACGACCUACGGGUGAAAGCAGGGGAUCUUCGGACCUUGCGCGAUUGAAUGAGCCGAUGUCGGAUUAGCUAGUUGGCGGGGUAAAGGCCCACCAAGGCGACGAUCCGCAGCUGGUCUGAGAGGAUGAUCAGCCACACUGGAACUGAGACACGGUCCAGAGUCCUACGAGAGGCAGCAGUGGGGAAUAUGGGACAAUGGGCGCAAGCCUGAUCCAGCCAUACCGCGUGGGUGAAGAAGGCCUUCGGGUUGUAAAGCCCUUUUGUUGGGAAAGAAAAGCAGCAGGUUAAUACCCAGCUGUUCUGACGGUACCCAAAGAAUAAGCACCGGCUAACUUCGUG